GGGUUCAUAGCUCAAUGAUAGAUCAUUUGACUGCAGAUCAAAAGAUUACUGAUGCGACCCUAAUUGGGCCCU
rnacentral:tRNA from 1 species